GUCGAACGGGAACAGAAUGAAACCUAGUGAUUUUUGUUUUAGUGGCGGACGGGUGAGUAACGCGUGGGUAACCUGCCGUAUACAGGGGGAUAACACUUAGAAAUAGGUGCUAAUACCGCAUAAGCGCACAGCUUCGCAUGGAGCAGUGUGAAAAGCGUAAACGGUAUACGAUGGACCCGCGUCUGAUUAGCUAGUUGGCGGGGUAGAGGCCCACCAAGGCGACGAUCAGUAGCCGGCCUGAGAGGGUGACCGGCCACAUUGGGACUGAGACACGGCCCAAACUCCUACGGGAGGCAGCAGUGGGGAAUAUUGCACAAUGGGGGGAACCCUGAUGCAGCGACGCCGCGUGAGUGAAGAAGUAUUUCGGUAUGUAAAGCUCUAUCAGCAGGGAAGAAAAUGACGGUACCUGACUAAGAAGCCCCGGCUAACUACGUGCCAGCAGCCGCGGUAAUACGUAGGGGGCAAGCGUUAUCCGGAUUUACUGGGUGUAAAGGGAGCGUAGACGGUUAUGCAAGUCUGAAGUGAAA
rnacentral:rRNA from 1 species